UUUUUCAUAAUUUUCUUGAUUAAUUUUCUAUUUAUUUGUUAUUUUUUAAGUUGACUUGAAUUUUCAGUUAACUUCUUUAUGAUCGAUGUUUGACUUAGGGAUUGCUUAUGGAAAUUGAAGAGAUCUUUUGAUCCUCCAUCGUUCAUCUCAUAUGCCAUGUAUUAGAGGCCUUUUACCUUGAUUUUAUUUGGUCCUUACCUCAUUUCCUGAUUAAAUUAUUCAGUGGACCCUUCCUGUGCAUAUUUUCAUCUGUUUGAUUCAUCUGUUAUCUUUUAUACUUG
rnacentral:lncRNA from 1 species